CUACGCGAAGAACCUUUACCUGGGCUACGAACCGGUACUAGUGGUACCUUUAUGAAGUAGAGGGGACCCCGCAAGGGAGCUAGCCGAGGUGCUGCAUGGUUGUCGUCAGCUCGUGUCGUGAGAUGUUGGGUUAAGUCCCGCAACGAGCGCAACCCCUGUCCUGUGUUGCUACUCCGCAAGGAGAGGACUCUCAGGAGACUGCCGUGGAUAACACGGAGGAAGGUGGGAUGACGUCAAAUCAUCAUGGCCUUUAUGUCCAGGGCUACACACGUGAUACAAUGGUACAGACAGAGGGCUGCAAGACCGUAAGGUGGAGCCAAUCCCUAAACUGUAUCCCAGUUCAGAUCGAGGGCUGCAAUUCGCCCUCGUGAAGUUGGAAUCGCUAGUAAUCGCAGAUCAGCAGGCUGCGGUGAAUACGUUCCCGGGCCUU
rnacentral:rRNA from 1 species